rnacentral:rRNA from 1 species
UACGGAGGGUGCAAGCGUUGUUCGGAAUCAUUGGGCGUAAAGCGCGUGUAGGCGGCUUGGCAAGUCGGUUGUGAAAGCCCGGGGCCCAACCCCGGAAUUGCAUCUGAAACUGCCUCGCUAGAGUCCCGGAGAGGAAGGCAGAAUUCCCGGUGUAGGGGUGAAAUCCGUAGAUAUCGGGAGGAAUACCAGCGGCGAAGGCGGCCUUCUGGACGGUGACUGACGCUGAGACGCGAAAGCGUGGGGGGCAAACAGG